GUACACUCCUGCGGGAGGCAGCAGUGGGGAAUUUUGGACAAUGGGCGAAAGCCUGAUCCAGCAAUGCCGCGUGAGUGAAGAAGGCCUUCGGGUUGUAAAGCUCUUUUGUCAGGGAAGAAACGGUGAAAGCUAAUAUCUUUUGCUAAUGACGGUACCUGAAGAAUAAGCACCGGCUAACUACGUGCCAGCAGCCGCGGUAAUACGUAGGGUGCAAGCGUUAAUCGGAAUUACUGGGCGUAAAGCGUGCGCAGGCGGUUUUGUAAGUCUGAUGUGAAAUCCCCGGGCUCAACCUGGGAAUUGCAUUGGAGACUGCAAGGCUAGAAUCUGGCAGAGGGGGGUAGAAUUCCACGUGUAGCAGUGAAAUGCGUAGAUAUGUGGAGGAACACCGAUGGCGAAGGCAGCCCCCUGGGUCAAGAUUGACGCUCAUGCACGAAAGCGUGGGGAGCAAACAGGAUUAGAUACCCGUGUAGUCCC
rnacentral:rRNA from 1 species